rnacentral:rRNA from 1 species
GUCUUUUCGAAGUUAAUGAGAAGUCAGGCCUGCUCAGUGAGUUUAAAUAGCCGCGGUAUUUUGACUGUGCUAAGGUAGCAUAAUCAAUAGUCUGUUAAAUGUGGUCUGGAAUGAAGGGUUUGACGAAGGGCAGCUUUCUUAAAUUUAUGGAUGAAUUUAAAUUAUUAGUUAAAAUGCUAAUUUGAGUUAGGGGGACGAGAAGACCCUAUAGAGCUUUAUAUAAGACUUAUGAUGUGAAUUUGUAAAGAUAUUUUGUUGGGGCGACAUAAAAUAGAAACAUUUUAUGAAAUUCUUUAAUUUUAGGUAUAUUGAUCCAGUAUUAUUGAUUAUAGACUAAGUUACCUUAGGGAUAACAGCGUAAUUUUACUUUAGAGUUCUUAUCGAUGGUAAAGUUUGCGACCUCGAUGUUGGAUUAAGAUUCCUUAGAAGCGCAGGAGUUUUAUAAGGUAGUCUGUUCGACUAUUAAAUUCUUACAUGAUCU